rnacentral:rRNA from 1 species
UACGGAGGGAGCUAGCGUUGUUCGGAUAUACUGGGCGUAAAGCGCACGUAGGCGGCGCCGUAAGUAAGAGGUGAAAGCCCGGAGCUCAACUCCGGAACUGCCUUUUAGACUGCAUCGCUUGAAUCCAGGAGAGGUGAGUGGAAUUCCGAGUGUAGAGGUGAAAUUCGUAGAUAUUCGGAAGAACACCAGUGGCGAAGGCGGCUCACUGGACUGGUAUUGACGCUGAGGUGCGAAAGCGUGGGGAGCAAACAGG